rnacentral:rRNA from 1 species
GAUGAACGCUAGCGGCAGGCUUAAUACAUGCAAGUCGAGGGGCAGCAUGAAUGUAGCAAUACAUUUGAUGGCGACCGGCAAACGGGUGCGGAACACGUACACAACCUUCCUAUAAGUGGGGAAUAGCCCAGAGAAAUUUGGAUUAAUACCCCGUAACAUAAUGAUGUGGCAUCACAUUAUUAUUAUAGCUACGGCGCUUAUUGAUGGGUGUGCGGCUGAUUAGAUAGUUGGCGGGGUAACGGCCCACCAAGUCUACGAUCAGUAGCUGAUGUGAGAGCAUGAUCAGCCACACGGGCACUGAGACACGGGCCCGACUCCUACGGGAGGCAGCAGUAAGGAAUAUUGGUCAAUGGACGCAAGUCUGAACCAGCCAUGCCGCGCGAAGGAUUAAGGUCCUCUGGAUUGUAAACUUCUUUUAUCUGGGACGAAAGAAGGCUAUUCUUAGUCACUUGACGGUACCAGAUGAAUAAGCACCGGCUAACUCCGUGCCAGCCGCCGCCGUAA